UAUUAAAAAUUUAAAUUAUUUCUAUUGUUAAAUAUUAACGUGGUUGACAAAAUAAUUAAACAAUUACACAUGAUGUGCUAUAUGUACCUUAUGCUGACGUAUAAUGACUAAUUUUUAACCGUGGAAAUAGAUGGAAUUUUUAAUA
rnacentral:pre_miRNA from 1 species